GUGUUAGGGUAUAUAUAUUAACAUAUUGUACUAAUAAAAUUAUAUUUUUAUUAAUAUUAAAUACAUCAAAUAAAUUUAUAUAAUAUUAAAUUUUUAUAAUUAAUUUUCCUUGUACUAUAACAUAUUUUAUAGAUAUAGUAAUAUUUAUAUUCAUUUAUAUUUAUAUAAUUUUAAUAAUUAUAUAUUUUAUUAUAAUUUGUUUGGAAAGUUAUUAUAUUAUUAUAGGUGCGUGUAAAUUAUCAAAGUUUGAUUCUUGCUUUCUAUAUACUUUAGUAAUAAAGAACAUAUUUAAAUUUUUGUAGGACAAAAGACUAUUUGUUUAAAUAUCUAAUAGUGUGAAAGAUUUAAAAUAAUAAAUAAAGUCGAAGUGUGAGAUAUUAAUAUUUAUGAUUGAAAAAUUGAAUUAGUAAUUAUUUUUAGCUCUGACUAAAAAUUUGUGCCAGCAGUCGCGGUUAUACUUAGGGAGUGAGUAUAUAAGUGUUGAUUAUUAGUUAAGUUAGUAUAUUAAAAAUUAUCUUAUCUGAGUUAAUAAAAGGUGAAAUUAGUUUAUUAAAUAUUAGUUUAAGAAAGUUUUUAUUAUAUGCUGAGGCUAUUUAAUUUAUGGGAUAAACUAGGAUUAGAUACCCUAUUAUACAUAAGUUUAAUAAUAAAAUAUCAGAUUAUUUUUAGUUAUGUUCUUAAAAAUCAAAGAACUUGGCGGUACUUUAGUCUUGUUAGAGGAACCUGUUUUAUAAGUGAUAAUCCACGUAGUAUCUUGCUUAAUCUUGUUUUGUCAGUAUGUAUACCGUCAUUAUUAGAUAAUUCUUAUAGGAAUGAAUUAUUAAAAUAAUUUAAAUAAUUAAGAUAUUAGAUCAAGGUGCAGCUAAUGGUUAAGUAAAAAUGGGUUACAAUAAUUUAUAAUUAUAUGGAUUAAUUGUUGAAUAAUAAUUAUGAAGGUGGAUUUAAUUGUAAUUUUUAUUUGAAUAAGGAGAAAUGAUAAUAGCUCUAGAUUAUGUACAUAUCGCCCGUCGCUUUCACUACAAGGUGAAAUAAGUCGUAACAUAGUAGGUGUACUGGAAAGUGUACCUAGA
rnacentral:ncRNA from 1 species